rnacentral:lncRNA from 1 species
UGCUGGUCCUCAUACCUUAUGCCCAAGGGCUAUGCAGGUACUGGUGAUGAUGGAGCCCCACUGAGUUUUGAUAUGAUCAAGUAGAAAUGCUAUGUCACUGGCUUUGCAAAGUGAGGAGUGUGUUAUGAUCAGUUGAGGGCAAGAGAAUAAUGCAGUGAGUUGUUAAUGAGAAGACCUGCUCAUCUUGCUUCUGGAUCCCAAGUCCCCAGAGGACCCUGGCUCAACUCCAGCUUAGUGUUGGAACUCUAGCAGGUAAGGAUAAGCAGGUAGAAAAAAAGGGGGAAAAGGCUCACUCUGGUCUUGAGUGAUCCAACUCUGGGUUAACAGAGCUUCAGAAGCACUCAGUGGUGACAAUUCAGGAUCAGCUCUCUCUUCAGAAAGCCUGGGCUUUUACUUCAGGAAAGGGCUUUCCAGUUUCACUCAAGAAAAGAUCUCAAUCCCCUAACUAGCACCAAAACU